GUUGUGGCUCAGUGGUAGAGCACUUGCCUCGCAUGUGUAAAGUACUGGGUUUGAUCCUCAGCACCACA
rnacentral:tRNA from 1 species